rnacentral:lncRNA from 1 species
AGGGAUCGGCGCAAGUGGAUGGAGAUGACAGUGGCAGUUGGCGGUGGUUGCUGGCAGAGCAGGUGAGCAGAAGACCGAGGGUCAGAAGACCCUAGGUGCGGCGCCUAGGGUUCUUCUGUUUUCUGCUAGGGUUUUUCUUGUUUUGGGUUUUGGGCUGAGGUUAGGCUAUUGGGCCUGUUUAGGUGGGUUUAGUUUGGGUAUUUUGGUAAUGGGCUUUGGGUAUUGGACCAUUUGGGCCCGGGCAAAAUUAGGUUGUAC